CCUACGGGUGGCUGCAGUAGGGAAUAUUGCUCAAUGAGGGAAACCCUGAAGCAGCAACGCCGCGUGGAGGAUGAAGGUUUUCGGAUUGUAAACUCCUGUUAUUAGAGAAGAUAAUGACGUUAUCUAACGAAUUAGCACCUGCUAACUCCGUGCCAGCAGCCGCGGUAAUACUGUGGGUGCAAGCGUUACUCGGGAUCUCUGGGCGUAAAGAUCGCCGAGGCGGGAUAGCAAGGCAGAGGUGAAAUCCUCUGGGUUAAACAUUGAACUGCAUUGGAUACUGGUAUUCUAGAGUCUGGGAGAGGUAGGUGGAAUUCGUGGUGAAGGGGUAAAAUGCGUAGAGAUAAAGAAGAAUACUAAAUGCGAAGGCGACCUGCUAGAACAAUACUGACGCUGAGGCGCGAAAGCGUGGGGAGCAAACAGGAUUAGAUACCCUUGUAGUC
rnacentral:rRNA from 1 species